UGUCUCUACUAUUUAUCAAAAUAAUUUGAGAAUUUUUAAAGCAACAUAGCUAGAGUGAUCAAUUAAAUAUAUAUUUAUAACUAUAUAUUUUUUUAAAUACAUAGCUAUGUUUUUUUAGAAAUUUCCAGAUUAUUUUGAUAAAUACUAGAGACAAUUAUGAAAGUACUCGAAGUGGUUUUGUAGUAAAAAAAUAAACAGUUGAUUUUUGAUAAAUGAUUAAGUAAGGAGAUAUAAAUAGUGAUGUGGGUAAAAUGAUAUAUAUUUGAUUUAUAGUGGGUUAAACGAGUCUCCGAUGAGAUGGGUGGGUCAAAUGAGAUAUUUUGACGCAACGGGUAGCCAGUUUGAUAUAAAGCCCUUAAAACAAGUUUAUGUUACAGAAGAUGAGUCAGCAGCAGAAAGCUCUCAAAUUAGUGAAGAAUGAUGUAAUUUCGGAACUUCCCGAUGAAAUCAUCUCCCAGUUAAUAUCGUUAUUGCCAUUCAGAGAGGCAGUGAGGACUAGUAUUUUGUCGAAAAGUUGGAUAUCGAGAUGGACUACACACACAGACAUUGUCUGUGAUGCUACGAAUAUACUUGGGUUCUCGGCUAGUGAAUUUGGAGGUCUGGAUAAUCUUGGAUUACAAUAUCACAGGAAUUUAUUUGUUGAGCAUGUGGAUAGUGUGAUGCAGAAGCGUAGCAAAGGACCAAAAAUUAAUUCAACUGUUAUCAACUUUGCUCUAUACCAAGAACACGAAACUCACAUUACUAGCUGGAUUACUGCUGCUAUUAUGAUGGGGGUUACUUUAUGUGGUGUAUCACUUUUUUCAUCUCGGGGGGUUUUGUCAUAUGCUCUAUGCUCCAUCUUCCUUUAGUUAAGGUUUUGAGGGGGGCUGAAUCUUAGACCAUGACCCUUUUCAUGGGGAAGAGGAUGGGCUGAUAGGGUGGACGGUUAGUCUUUGCCACUAGGCUCUAUCCCUGAUUCCAGGGACAGAGCUAGGAUUUGAGUCUAGCGGGGGCAAUAAAAAAUUCUGUUCACAAAACAACUUUGUUAUCACAAGUUGGAUUUGAACUUGUGCCUUCACUAGGAAGGUCCAGCUCCACAACCAUGGGGGCAAAACAACUUUUCUAGUUAACGAUGUAUGAGAUAUAUGCAUAUAUUAUGGAGGUCAGUGGGGGAAAGUACCUCCACUGCUCCCAUGCUGCCUCCGUCCCUGCCUGAUUCAUGUAUACGUAUAUUUUGCUACUAUAACAUAGUUUUUUUUUUGUCGCAGCUGCCAGAAGGAGUUACUUCAUUAAUCAACAUAAAGCAUUUGGUACUCACUGUUUUACCAUUCCAGGAUAAAGACAUGCUUAGUUGGCUUACCUAUAUCUUAAAAGCUGCCCCUUUGCUGACCAACCUCCAAUUAAAUCAAUUCCACUCAAGGUUAAGCAGAAGAUCAGAGCCGGAUGAUAUACUACUACCUGAAGUCACUCAUGUGAAUCUUACAAAAUUAGAGAUAAAUGGAUAUCAGGGCGAGGAGCAUGAGAAAGUGCUCUUAAAGUAUUUGGUUGAUUCUGCAGUUAAGCUUGAUCUCCUCGUGAUCAGUCCACGAAUGAAGUUGUACAGCGGCUUAAAUGAUUGGCGUUAUAUAAAUUCAAAUACUUCUGACAACAGAGUGAGCUUGGAACAGCUUCAAGAACUCCAUUCAAUAGUUCCCAAGGCCGUUCGGGUAAAAUACUGCGAUUGAUGCAUUUAUCUUUGUGCUUGAUGUUUUCAGUUACAUGUGUAAAGAGUAACCAGCAUUUCAGGCAUGUUAACCCCCUUUAUAUACAGAACAA